CGGCUGCAGCGCAUGCGCAGUAAGAGACUGAUUUGCUUGGAAAAAGCGAGGGAGCCAGAAGGAAAGAAGACGCAGGAGGAAAGAGGUAGAAAGGGAGCAACUAUCGAUGUCUGUCUACUAAGAAAUACAUGAAGAGGAAAGGCAGCAUUUGCAGUUUUUUCUUGCCAAAGAGAAAGACGACAGAAAUAGAAAAUGAACAAUUGAGCAAAGGUGAUAGAGAAGACGAUGUGGAAGGAGAGAAAAGACGAAGAUGAUGUGGAAGGAGAGAGAGAAAUACAACAGAAAUGUGAUGAAAUACAAGCUGAUGAUGUAUCCAAGUCCAGGUGUGAGGUUCCAGUGCAGCCAAUGCCAGACAGUUUCCCUCCAGGGAGGAGCCAGAAGAAGCUUCUGCAGCGACUGGUACAAAUUUCAUCCCUGCUUAGAAAACUCACAAUCAAAAGAUGCAGCUUACUGUUUUGCAUGUCGGCAUUUUUCCCUCCCAGAUGCUCCAAAGACUGUUUCCACCUCAUUGGAGGGUUAUCACAACUGGAAAAAGGCUACAAUGAAAGACAUGGUUUCUGUUCUCAUGGCAGAUCUGAAGGACAUGGAAAUGCAACGUUUGCAUGGACAGAGAACAAGAACAUUCAGGAUAAAAAUACCUCAAUGUUUGGACUAAUGGAUGAGCAAAAAAAGAAGCAGGUGGCUGAAAAUCAGUACUACAUUAGAACAUCAGCUGAAAUUUUACUUCUAACAGCCACAGAAAACAGCACAGCAGGUCACAGGGAGUCUCAACUCCAAAAAAAAGGUGUUUUUCUGUCUAUGUUAGACUUGCUGGGUAACCAUAACCCCAUCAUUAAAAAAAGACUUCAACAACAAGCUAAAAAUGCAAAAUAUACCAGUAAAACAAUACAGAAUGAAUUACUUGAGUGCUUGGCUGCAAUGGUCAAAGAGGAAAUCAUCCAGGAAGUUAAAACCAGCAAGCAGUUUUCAGUUACUGUUGAUGAAACUAAAGAUGUUCAGAAAAAAGAACAAAUGUCAUUUGUUCUGAGAUAGUUAUACAACAGUGUGGUUCAUGAGAGCUUUCUGGAGUUUGAUGUGGCAGAACAUCUGGAUGCUGCUGCCUUAAGUGACAAGAUUAUAUGCUUCUUUGAGAAGCAUGGGCUGGAGUCCAAGGAAAACCUUGUAGACCAGGACUACGAUGGUGCAGCAGUGAUGCACAUGCAGGUGUUGAAGCAAAAAUAAAAGAAGUAGCUAAACAUGCCUUCUAUGUUCACUGUAGUUCACACUGCUUGAACCUAGUUCUAGCAAAUCCUGUAAAAAGUGUAGCAGAUGCAGGAAACUUCUCAUUAUUGGAACAACUGUAUGUAUUCAUGUCUGGCUCAUAUGUACAGAACAAAUGGCUGGAAGUGCAGCAGGAGAUGUUUGAUGGUGCACCAAGGGAGCUCCAACAGCUAAGUGAUGCAUGUUGGGCCUGUAGGCACACAGCAUGUUGCAAUGUUCUGGACAGGUGGCCUGCAAUAGUACAGUAUAGCUUGAAGAGCUGCAUCUGAGAACCAUCCACAAAGAGCUGUUGAAGCAAGAGGGAUAUUGAUUGAUCAGAAUUCUGCUGGAUUUCUUGUUCUGUCCAGAAAGGUCCUGAGUGACUCCAAUUUUUUAUCAGACAUGCUCCAGUCUAAAACAGUGGACUAUGCUAAUGCUGUUGGACUUAUUGAAGCACUUAAAGAGACACUGGUCCAGUACCGUAGUCAAGCCUCUUUUGAGGAAAUGUGGAGUGAAAUUUUUUGAUUUAUGUCAACGAAGUAACAUUGAUACAAGUCAAAGAAAACCAAAGAGGCCAAGACAGACAACAAAGGUGCUUCAGGAUACUGUCGUCCACUCCACCUUGGGACAGCAUGUAGUUCCAGAUAGCAAACACACUUUUUGUGUCUCUGUGUACCAUCCAGUUCUGGAUAACAUGGUUGGAGAAAUAGGAAGAAGAUUUUCUAACACCAAUGUAAAAUUGUGCAGGGUGUCCAGGCACUAAAUCCGUCAAGUCCAAGUUUUUUGAGAGAGGAAGCUGUUCUGUUACUGGCUGAAGCUUAUGAUUCAAAUAUUGAGGAUCAAAACACAAGUUACAUCAGACGAGGAG
ensembl:lncRNA